GAUGAACGCUGGCGGCGUGCCUAAUGCAUGCAAGUCGAGCGAACAGACGAGGAGCUUACUCCUCUGACGUUAGCGGCGGACGGGUGAGUAACACGUGGAUAACCUACCUAUAAGACUGGGAUAACUUCGGGAAACCGGAGCUAAUACCGGAUAACAUGUUGAACCGCAUGGUUCAACAGUGAAAGACGGUCUUGCUGUCACUUAUAGAUGGAUCCGCGUCGCAUUAGCUAGUUGGUAAGGUAACGGCUUACCAAGGCGACGAUGCGUAUCCGACCUGAGAGGGUGAUCGGCCACACUGGAACUGAGACACGGUCCAGACUCCUACGGGAGGCAGCAGUAGGGAAUCUUCCGCAAUGGGCGAAAGCCUGACGGACCAACGCCGCGUGAGUGAAGAAGGUCUUCGGAUCGUGAAACUCUGUUAUUGGGGAAGAACAAAUGUGUAAGUAACUAUGCACGUCUUGACGGUACCUAAUCAGAAAGCCACGGCUAACUACGUGCCACCAGCCGCGGUAAUACGUAGGUGGCAAGCGUUAUCCGGAAUUAUUGGGCGUAAAGCGCGCGUAGGCGGUUUUUUAGUCUGAUGUGAAAGCCCACGGCUCAACCGUGGAGGGUCAUUGGAAACUGGAAAACUUGAGUGCAGAAGAGGAAAGUGGAAUUCCAUGUGUAGCGGUGAAAUGCGCAGAGAUAUGGAGGAACACCAGUGGCGAAGGCGACUUUCUGGUCUGUAACUGACGCUGAUGUGCGAAAGCGUGGGGAUCAAACAGGAUUAGAUACCCUGGUAGUCCACGCCGUAAACGAUGAGUGCUAAGUGUUAGGGGGUUUCCGCCCCUUAGUGCUGCAGCUAACGCAUUAAGCACUCCGCCUGGGGAGUACGACCGCAAGGUUGAAACUCAAAGGAAUUGACGGGGACCCGCACAAGCGGUGGAGCAUGUGGUUUAAUUCGAAGCAACGCGAAGAACCUUACCAAAUCUUGACAUCCUCUGACCCCUCUAGAGAUAGAGUUUUCCCCUUCGGGGGACAGAGUGACAGGUGGUGCAUGGUUGUCGUCAGCUCGUGUCGUGAGAUGUUGGGUUAAGUCCCGCAACGAGCGCAACCCUUAAGCUUAGUUGCCAUCAUUAAGUUGGGCACUCUAAGUUGACUGCCGGUGACAAACCGGAGGAAGGUGGGGAUGACGUCAAAUCAUCAUGCCCCUUAUGAUUUGGGCUACACACGUGCUACAAUGGACAAUACAAAGGGUAGCGAAACCGCGAGGUCAAGCAAAUCCCAUAAAGUUGUUCUCAGUUCGGAUUGUAGUCUGCAACUCGACUACAUGAAGCUGGAAUCGCUAGUAAUCGUAGAUCAGCAUGCUACGGUGAAUACGUUCCCGGGUCU
rnacentral:rRNA from 1 species